rnacentral:rRNA from 1 species
ACGGAGAGUUUGAUCCUGGCUCAGGAUGAACGCUGGCGGCGUGCUUAACACAUGCAAGUCGAACGAACCUUCGGGUUAGUGGCGGACGGGUGAGUAACGCGUGGGAAUCUGCCCUCAGGAGGGGGAUAACGGUUGGAAACGGCCGCUAAUACCCCAUAUGCCGAGAGGUGAAAUGAAUUUCGCCUGAGGAUGAGCCCGCGUCUGAUUAGCUAGUUGGUGUAGGUAAUGGCUCACCAAGGCAUCGAUCAGUAGCUGGUCUGAGAGGAUGAUCAGCCACACUGGGACUGAGACACGGCCCAGACUCCUACGGGAGGCAGCAGUGGGGAAUUUUCCGCAAUGGGCGCAAGCCUGACGGAGCAACGCCGCGUGAGGGAUGAAGGCCUCUGGGCUGUAAACCUCUUUUCUCAAGGAAGAAGAUCUGACGGUACUUGAGGAAUAAGCCACGGCUAAUUCCGUGCCAGCAGCCGCGGUAAUACGGGAGUGGCAAGCGUUAUCCGGAAUUAUUGGGCGUAAAGCGUCCGCAGGCGGCUUUUCAAGUCUGCUGUUAAAACGUGGAGCUUAACUCCAUCAAGGCAGUGGAAACUGAUUGGCUUGAGUGUGGUAGGGGCAGAGGGAAUUCCCGGUGUAGCGGUGAAAUGCGUAGAUAUCGGGAAGAACACCAGUGGCGAAGGCGCUCUGCUGGGCCAUAACUGACGCUCAUGGACGAAAGCCAGGGGAGCGAAAGGGAUUAGAUACCCCUGUAGUCCUGGCCGUAAACGAUGAACACUAGGUGUCGGGGGAAUCGACCCCCUCGGUGUCGUAGCCAACGCGUUAAGUGUUCCGCCUGGGGAGUACGCACGCAAGUGUGAAACUCAAAGGAAUUGACGGGGGCCCGCACAAGCGGUGGAGUAUGUGGUUUAAUUCGAUGCAACGCGAAGAACCUUACCAGGGUUUGACAUCCUGCGAAUCUCUUGGAAACGAGAGAGUGCCUUUGGGAACGCAGUGACAGGUGGUGCAUGGCUGUCGUCAGCUCGUGUCGUGAGAUGUUGGGUUAAGUCCCGCAACGAGCGCAACCCACGUUUUUAGUUGCCAGCAUUUAGUUGGGCACUCUAGAGAGACCGCCGGUGAUAAACCGGAGGAAGGUGUGGAUGACGUCAAGUCAUCAUGCCCCUUACAUCCUGGGCUACACACGUACUACAAUGCUACGGACAAAGGGCAGCAAGUUCGCGAGGACAAGCAAAUCCCAUAAACCGUGGCUCAGUUCAGAUCGUAGGCUGCAACUCGCCUACGUGAAGAAGGAAUCGCUAGUAAUCGCAGGUCAGCAUACUGCGGUGAAUACGUUCCCGGGCCUUGUACACACCGCCCGUCACACCAUGGAAGUUGGCCACGCCCGAAGUCGUUACUCCAACCCUUGUGGAGGAGGACGCCGAAGGUGGGGCUGAUGACUGGGGUGAAGUCGUAACAAGGUAUCCGUACCGGAAGGUGCGGAUGGAUCACCUCCU